GGGUCAGUAGGUUGGUCGUGCCACCGGUACGUACUGGUCUCACUGAUUCCUCCUUCCUGAAGAACCUUAAUGCCAUUAAUUUGGUGUUGCGGGGAGACAGGACUGUUACUUUGAAAAAAUUAGAGUGUUUAAAGCAAGCUAACGCUUGAAUACAUUAGCAUGGAAUAAUGAAAUAGGACGAUCGAUCCUAUUUUGUUGGUUUCUAGGAUUGACGUA
rnacentral:rRNA from 1 species